rnacentral:rRNA from 1 species
AAACUGUGGAAGUACCAUAUGAGUACAACCGCGUACUUUUUGUAGAACGGUCCGGCGAGUUACGUUUACUGGCGAGGUUAAGCACUUAAGGUGCGGAGCCGAAGGGAUACCAAGUCUUAACAGGGCGCAUAGCUUCUUACGAAGCAUUAGUCAGUGUACGUAGACCCGAAACCGGGUGAUCUACCCAUGUCCAGGCUGAAGUUGCCGUAAAAGGCAAUGGAGGGCCGAACGCACAUCCGUUGAAAAGGGUGGCGAUGAGGUGUGGGUAGGGGAGAAAUUCCAAUCGAACCCGGAGAUAGCUGGUUCUCCUCGAAAUAGCUUUAGGGCUAGCCUCGUGUUAACCUUGUGGAGGUAGAGCACUGAAUAUCCUAGGGGGCGUCAAAGUCUACCGAAGAUUAUCAAACUCCGAAUGCCAUAGAGGUGAUGCACGGGAGUCAGACUGCACGAGAUAAGUUGGGUGGUCAAAAGGGAAAGAGCCCAGACCUACAGCUAAGGUCCCAAAGUGCGUGUUAAGUGGAAAAGGAUGUGGGAUUUCGAAGACAACUAGGAUGUUGGCUCAGAAGCAGCCAUACAUUCAAAGAGUGCGUAAUAGCUCACUAGUCGAGAGGUCCUGCGCCGAAAAUGUCCGGGGCUGAAACACGACACCGAAGCUUAGGACUCCUUUUAGGAGUGGUAGAGGAGCAUUGUUAGCGCAGCGAAGCUGUACCGAUAAGGAGCAGUGGAGUGCUAAGAAGAGAGAAUGCCGGAAUGAGUAGCGAGAGGAAGGUGAGAAUCCUUCCGGCCGAAUAUCCAAGGUUUCCAGAGUAAAGCUGAUCUGCUCUGGGUAAGUCGGGGCCUAAGGCGAGGUCGAAAGACGUAGUCGAUGGAUAACAGGUGGAGAUUCCUGUACUAUGUGUACCCAGAACUGUGGGGACGCAUGUGGAGAGCAUGAGCCGGGAAAGAAAAAACCGGUACAAGCGAGGUAGGAGUAAGGACAGCAAAUCUUCCUUACAAUCCGAAGACGUGAUGUGGACCGAACCAAAGUAGGGAAGCAUGUGAGCCAUGUGCCAAGAAAAGCCGCUAUUGUGAUACACAUACCCGUACCGUAAACCGACACAGGUGGAUGAGGAGAGAAUCCUAAGGCCGACGGAAGAAGCAUUGUUAAGGAACUCGGCAAAAUGACCCCGUAACUUCGGGAGAAGGGGUGCCCUGUGAAAGCAGGGCCGCAGAGAAUAGGCUCAAGCAACUGUUUAGCAAAAACACAGGUCUAUGCGAAACCGAAAGGUGAGGUAUAUGGGCUGACGCCUGCCCGGUGCUGGAAGGUUAAGAGGAGAAGUCAGGCAACGAAGCUUCGAAUUUAAGCCCCAGUAAACGGCGGCCGUAACUAUAACGGUCCUAAGGUAGCGAAAUUCCUUGUCGGGUAAGUUCCGACCCGCACGAAAGGCGUAAUGAUUUGAGCACUGUCUCGACAAUGCAUCCGGUGAAAUUGAAGUACCAGUGAAGAUGCUGGUUACCUGCGCCAGGACGGAAAGACCCCAUGGAGCUUUACUCCAGCUUGAUACUGGGAUUCGAUACUGUAUGUACAGGAUAGGUGGGAGACGUUGAGCAUAGAACGCCAGUUUUAUGUGAGUCGCUGUUGGGAUACCACCCUUGCAGUAUUGGAUUUCUAACCUGCACCCAUGACCUGGGUGGGGGACAAUGUCUGGCGGGGAGUUUGACUGGGGCGGUCGCCUCCGAAAGGGUAUCGGAGGCGCUCAAAGGUUCCCUCAGAAUGGUUGGAAACCAUUCGAAGAGUGCAAAGGCAGAAGGGAGCUUGACUGUGACACCGACGGGUGGAACAGGUACGAAAGUAGGACUUAGUGAUCCGGUGGUAUAAAGUGGGAUUGCCAUCGCUCAACGGAUAAAAGCUACCCUGGGGAUAACAGGCUUAUCACUCCCAAGAGUUCACAUCGACGGAGUGGUUUG